rnacentral:antisense_RNA from 1 species
UUUAUGGUGGGGCGUGCAGGGCAGCCUUUGUGCUGGCCGGUUUCUGUGGUCACCGGUAUUUCCACCCCUGCACGUCUCACCACCA